UCAAAAGCUAGCGUUGGCCUGGGUCCAUCACCAAGGCAAUGAUGUUUGCCCCAUACCUGGCACUACCAAGAUUGAGAACCUCGAUCAGAAUAUAGGAGCUUUGUCUGUAAAACUGUCCGCAGAGGAAAUGGCAG